AAUAUCAAAGGUGAGCCAGUACAGGAUGGACCCGCGUCUGAUUAGCUAGUUGGUAAGGUAACGGCUUACCAAGGCGACGAUCAGUAGCCGACCUGCGAGGGUGAUCGGCCACAUUGGAACUGAGACACGGUCCAAACUCCUACGGGAGGCAGCAGUGGGGAAUAUUGCACAAUGGGCGAAAGCCUGAUGCAGCAACGCCGCGUGAGUGAUGAAGGCCUUCGGGUCGUAAAACUCUGUCCUCAAGGAAGAUAAUGACGGUACUUGAGGAGGAAGCCCCGGCUAACUACGUGCCAGCAGCCGCGGUAAUACGUAGGGGGCUAGCGUUAUCCGGAUUUACUGGGCGUAAAGGGUGCGUAGGCGGUCUUUCAAGUCAGGAGUGAAAGGCUACGGCUCAACCGUAGUAAGCUCUUGAAACUGGGAGACUUGAGUGCAGGAGAGGAGAGUGGAAUUCCUAGUGUAGCGGUGAAAUGCGUAGAUAUUAGGAGGAACACCAGUUGCGAAGGCGGCUCUCUGGACUGUAACUGACGCUGAGGCACGAAAGCGUGGGGAGCAAACAGGAUUAGAUACCCUGGUAGUCCACGCUGUAAACGAUGAGUACUAGGUGUCGGGGGUUACCCCC
rnacentral:rRNA from 1 species